rnacentral:rRNA from 1 species
UGCCGCCGCCGCGGUAAUACCGGCAGCCCGAGUGAUGGCCGAUCUUAUUGGGCCUAAAGCGUCCGUAGCUGGCCGCGCAAGUCCAUCGGGAAAUCCACCUGCUCAACAGGUGGGCGCCCGGUGGAAACUGUGCGGCUUGGGACCGGAAGGCGCGACGGGUACGUCCGGGGUAGGAGUGAAAUCCCGUAAUCCUGGACGGACCGCCGAUGGCGAAAGCACGUCGCGAGAACGGAUCCGACAGUGAGGGACGAAAGCCAGGGUCUCGAACCGGAUUAGAAACCCGUGUAGUCC